rnacentral:lncRNA from 1 species
ACCCCAGUUGCAUGUCAUUGACCAAAGGCAGGAGAUGAUGGGGUGUUGCGCUCCUGUGAGCACCAUAAGCAUGGCAUGAGAGGUUUGUGGGAGUUAAAAUAGUACUUGUGAUAGACAAGUUGUUCUUGUGGAUAAACAGUGGUCUGAUGCUUCUCUCCCAAACUUUUUUUUUUUUUUAAAUUGUAUUAGAUCAGAAUAACACUGUGUGGUCAAACACUGAGUUUAAUACCCAACACACAGGCCCACUGACUCAUCUUUCUCGCUUCCACCCCCAGCGUGUAACAGUAGUUCUUAAUAAGGGUCCAGUAAUUAAUGCCUUAAUUUUUCAUCUGACUGGACAUGUUUUUCACAUCAGUCACCUUUAACACUUCCAGACAAGGGCUUAAAAAACCAAAUUUAACCAAGAAUUCACGGUUUCAGUAGUAUAGUAAAUUAUUAGGUAUUCUGGGAGGAAAUAAUUAGCAACCAGAUAUUAGGGGCGUUUUUUUUUAUCAUUUAAAUAUCCUCCGUGUGUGUAAAAUGACUGGCCAUUAAACAUUUUUUCGUUGGGAAGCUGUUAAUCGUUCACAGCAGACAGUACGUGAAGCUUUUUUACUGUACUCUGUACUGGCAGAAUGGCGGAGGCGUCUCGAGACAGGGGUGGUUCUGCGGCGCUGUCGCGCGCUCGCUCAACCGUCACACUUGCUCUGGCGAGUUGUGGCGUUUUAGCGUUUGUCAUUUUGGGGUAUUCCUGCUUAUUGUAAGCUAUUUGUAAUUUUUUUUUUUUUUUUUUUGCGCGAGUGGAAGCCUCACACCAGGAGGAAUUGCAGUUUUAGUUCAGCUGAGCAGUACGCACAAAUUCAGAAUAAGUUCGGUAGACCUGACCAGCCCAGGUCUUUGCGGACUAAUCUACUGCCAGCGCCUGCGUUGGACCAAUAUCCUUUGGUGACCUCUGCAUUAAACUGGACGAGGCUGGUAACACGAAGCACAGCAAGCAAAAUAAAUGCUUCAGGUUGUGGUGCUACGAAGGAAAAUGAAGGCAAGUGAAAUGAUUAACCUCCAAACAUUU